AAUUCAUUACCGAGAGUAAAUGGAUGUGCAUAUUCAUCUCUGCAAGUUCCGCGGCAUUCUUCUCGUUUCUUCCCGCGGCGAAAUUCCGAUCUUAAUUUCUACGUUCCUCAAGCUCGAUCAACCUCAGAGCCCUGAGAUCAGAAAGGACGAGAUCUAGGAGGAAAGCUUAAAAGCAUCACUACAUGGUAAAGACAGAGUUGGGAUGCCAGAGGCAUGAGAUCAAACGAGGUCAAAGUGGAUAGGCUCUGACCAUUUUGCAGGGGUGUGCCUUUUGAGUUCUUGAAUGGAACUAGAAGCUGCUCUGUGGUUUUGUUAGACUCGCACUAGCGGCCUUACCUGUAAAAAGCCGAUCAAUUAACUAGAUGUAGACCAUUGGUUGGUUCGAGAACCGACAUCAAUGGCAAUGGCCAGUGGUCGGUUUUUAACCAAGGUAAAUUCUCUCUCCCAAUUGACCAUAUUACCAAUAAAAAUUACGUUUUGCCCCUUUGCUCCUAGGCCCUUGUGGGUAUGGAUCCUAAUCUUUCUCCACGGAAUGGAUCCUACGGCCCACGAGACAUGAAUUUCUUAAAGGCUGCUUCCAGUCAUAACAACAUUUUAGAUUUGCGAGAGAAAAGAAGCUUCAGCAGAUCGACUAUUCUUGUGAAACAGCCCAUUGAUCCCUCCAUAUUUAGUUGUCGAGGUAACUUGUUGGAUAUUAAAUCUUAGGUAGUCAUACAUUGGUUUACUCAUUCUAGGUAAUUUUUUUCUAAUUGAUCUCUAGACCAACCUUUACUUGUUGUGAUAGAGGUAUAUUAUUGAUAGAAUGUUUCAUUAAUUUACAUCUAUCAUUGUA